UGUAAUACCAGUUUCCAUACAAUCACCAAAGUUAAGCAAUGUUGAGCCUGGUCAGUACAUAGAUGUGUGACUGCUUGGGAAUACCAGGUGCUGUAA